rnacentral:snRNA from 1 species
CGACUCUGGUUUCUCUUCAUUACCACAACCUUUCCCUUUUACUAAAGACUUCCGUGGAGAGGAACACUUACGAGUUCAAUAUUUGGAAGGACUUUUGCUUCU